CAACAUGUAGUUUAAGUUAAAAUUUAAACUUUGGGAGUUUGUGAUGUAAAAUAUUUACUUUGUUGA
rnacentral:tRNA from 1 species